rnacentral:misc_RNA from 1 species
UGAGUAAUCUGUGGCAAAGUG